CCACACCUAAAAAACUUUCCACGUGAACCGUUUCAACCCAAUAGUUGGGGGUCUUAUUUGGCGGCGGCUGCUGGCUUAAUUGUUGGCGGCUGCUGCUGAGUGAGCCCUAUCAAAAAAAAAGGCGAACGUUGGGCUUUCGGCCUGAUUUAGUAUUCUUUUUUCUUUUAAACCCAUUCCUUAAUACUGAAUAUACUGUGGGGACGAAAGUCUCUGCUUUUAACUAGAUAGCAACUUUCAGCAGUGGAUGUCUAGGCUCGCACAUCGAUGAAGAACGCUGCGAACUGCGAUACGUAAUGCGAAUUGCAGGAUUCAGUGAGUCAUCGAAAUUUUGAACGCAUAUUGCACUUCCGGGUUAGUCCUGGAAGUAUGCCUGUAUCAGUGUCCGUACAUUAAACUUGACUUUCUUCCUUCCGUGUAGUCGGUGGAGGAGAUGUCAGAUGUGAAGUGUCUUGCGAUUGGUCUUCGGACCGGCUGCGAGUCCUUUUAAAUGUACUAAACUGAACUUCUCUUUGCUCGAAAAGUGGUGGCGUUGCUGGUUGUGAAGGCUGCUAUUGUGGCAAAUUGGCGACUGGUUUGUCUGCUGCGGCAUUAAUGGAAGAGUGUUCGAUUCGUGGUAUGGUUGGCUUCGGCUGAACAAUGCACUUAUUGGACGUUUUUCCUGCUGUGGCGUGAUGGACUGGUGAACCAUAGCUCGGUGGCUUGGCUUUUGAAUUGGCUUUGCUGUUGCGAAGUAGGGUGGCAGCUUCGGUUGUCGAGGGUCGAUCCAUUUGGGAACUUAAUGUGUACUUCGGUAUGCAUCUCAA
rnacentral:rRNA from 1 species